rnacentral:rRNA from 1 species
CCUACGGGAGGCAGCAGUAGGGAAUCUUCGGCAAUGGGCGGAAGCCUGAUGCAGCAACGCCGCGUGAGUGAUGAAGGUCUUCGGAUCGUAAAACUCUGUUAUCAGGGAAGAACAAAUGUGUAAGUAACUGUGCACAUCUUGACGGUACCUGAUCAGAAAGCCACGGCUAACUACGUGCCAGCAGCCGCGGU